rnacentral:rRNA from 1 species
UGGGGAAUAUUGCACAAUGGGCGCAAGCCUGAUGCAGCCAUGCCGCGUGUGUGAAGAAGGCCUUCGGGUUGUAAAGCACUUUCAGCGAGGAGGAAGGUGGUGAGCUUAAUACGCUCAUCAAUUGACGUUACUCGCAGAAGAAGCACCGGCUAACUCCGUGCCAGCAGCCGCGGUAAUACGGAGGGUGCAAGCGUUAAUCGGAAUUACUGGGCGUAAAGCGCACGCGGGCGGUUUGUUAAGUCAGAUGUGAAAUCCCCGGGCUCAACCUGGGAACUGCAUUUGAAACUGGCAAGCUAGAGUCUCGUAGAGGGGGGUAGAAUUCCAGGUGUAGCGGUGAAAUGCGUAGAGAUCUGGAGGAAUACCGGUGGCGAAGGCGGCCCCCCUGGACGAAGACUGACGCUCAGGUGCGAAAGCGUGGGGCAGCAAACAGGAUUAGAUACCCUGGUAGUCCAGCGCUGUAAACGAUGUCGAUUUGGAGGUUGUGCCCUUGAGGCGUGGCUUCCGGAGCUAACGCGUUAAA